UACGAGUGGAGCGAGCGUUGUUCGGAAUCACUGGGCGUAAAGCGUACGCAGGCGGUCAUGAAAGUCAGAAGUGAAAUCCCAGGGCUCAACCCUGGAAUGGCUUUUGAAACUCCAUGACUAGAGUACUGGAGAGGUUGGCGGAAUUCCGAGUGUAGCAGUGAAAUGCGUAGAUAUUCGGAGGAACACCGAUGGCGUAGGCAGCCAACUGGACAGUUACUGACGCUCAGGUACGAAAGCGUGGGGAUCAAACAGG
rnacentral:rRNA from 1 species